rnacentral:lncRNA from 1 species
UUUAAUCCCAGGAUCCCAUGGAGAGGAAACUUGUAGGUCUCUUACCCAGUGUCUUCUCCUGCUCUCUGGCUCUGAUUUCUGAACUAAGAAAAGUGUGCAAACAUCAUCUGCUCUCCUGGUUGUAUUUGUAAAUGCCUCCCCUAGACCCAGCUCUACUUUAGGCCACGUGAGUGACAGUGACCACAUCAGUCAGGGAUUCUCCUACUGUCCCUGACCCAUGUCCGCUUUUGUCUCCUCCCACUCUAAUAACAGACCGUGUGGCUUGAACCUCAGCCCUGCUGCCAAGUAGCUGUGUGAGCUUCAG